rnacentral:rRNA from 1 species
AUUGAACGCUGGCGGCAGGCUUAACACAUGCAAGUCGAGCGGGGUGAUGGUGCUUGCACUAUCACUUAGCGGCGGACGGGUGAGUAAUGCUUAGGAAUCUGCUUAUUAGUGGGGGACAACAUCUCGAAAGGAUGCUAAUACCGCAUACGUCCUACGGGAGAAAGCAGGGGAUCACUUGUGACCUUGCGCUAAUAGAUGAGCCUAAGUCGGAUUAGCUAGUUGGUGGGGUAAAGGCCUACCAAGGCGACGAUCUGUAGCGGGUCUGAGAGGAUGAUCCGCCACACUGGGACUGAGACACGGCCCAGACUCCUACGGGAGGCAGCAGUGGGGAAUAUUGGACAAUGGGGGGAACCCUGAUCCAGCCAUGCCGCGUGUGUGAAGAAGGCCUUAUGGUUGUAAAGCACUUUAAGCGAGGAGGAGGCUCUUUUGGUUAAUACCCAAGAUGAGUGGACGUUACUCGCAGAAUAAGCACCGGCUAACUCUGUGCCAGCCACCGCCGUAA